rnacentral:rRNA from 1 species
CAGUCGCCGCGGUAAUACGAAGGGUACAAGCGUUAAUCGGUAUUACUGGGCGUAAAGCGUGCGUAGGCGGUGAGUUAAGUCCGCUGUGAAAUCCCCGGGCUCAACCUGGGAAUAGCAGUGGAUACUGGCUCGCUAGAGUGUGUCAGAGGAUGGUGGAAUUCCCGGUGUAGCGGUGAAAUGCGUAGAGAUCGGGAGGAACAUCAGUGGCGAAGGCGGCCAUCUGGGACAACACUGACGCUGAGGCACGAAAGCGUGGGGAGCAAACAGGAUUAGAUACCCCUGUAGUCCCUGUCUCUUAUAU